GUUUUGUACCAGGCACAUUGUGCGGAUCUGCUGGGCGCCUCCUGCCUCUCCCCCAAGCAAAGGUUAUCAGGAGGCAGCUACAGCCUCCAAGGGGUCUUUGAGAAAGUGGCCACGUUUCAGACAGGUUUUGGAGAUGCAAGCAUGGAUUUUCCCCACGGGACACCUGACCACGGGGAAUCUGGAAGUGGCAGCACAGAGCUCAGUGCCCUCAGGAGCUGUGCCAGUCCGUGAGACCCCACACAGGCACAAAAACAUCCCCAGGGAGCUGGGAGCACAGCCUGUCCUCGGUGCAGGGCUGGGCACCCCCGGCAGCCGCUGUCCCCACCUGUGCAGCUGCCGGUGCCACCUGCCUGAUAGCGGGCAGGUGCUGUCCCCGUGUCACCUCCCAAAGGCCACACCUGAUCCCGCAGCCGCGCGUGUGGCCAAGCGCCCUCUGACCCGUGCUCAGCAAUCCUCCCGGCACAGAAGCUGGGGUGGGUGGCUCUGCCACCAUCGCUGCGUGUUGUCCCCUGGGAGGGGGCACAGCUCCAGCACCCCAACACCAUUCCCUGCUGGGGAGAAGGGGGACAAAGCAGCACGGCAGCAAGGCAAGGAUUAAGGACCCCAAAAUCAGCCCAUCUCCAUGGCAAAGCCUUCACCCCUCCCUCCUCUUCAUCACUCAAGCAGGCUCCUACGGGAGGUGACAUCCUGAGGAACAUCUGAGGUUGGGCAGCUCAGAGGGGAGAUACAAAAGGUGAUGUGGGCUUGUCUGGGGUAGAUUGGUGUCGUCCUUCAUACAGGGAGCCUCAGGCCAGCAGCUGAGGGACAGAAAGGAGAGGUCAGCAACACCUGGAGGAGCAGAGCCUUGGUGACCCCAGCAGCACCUCUGCUUCUGGAGCUGUGGCAAUGGGGCAGCUGAGGACAUCCUGAUGGGAAGGGAUGUGCUUGGAUGGCCACUUCCAUGGGAAAUGGAGCACACACAGCUCUUCCAAUAGCCAAAGCAGACCAAAAGGAAGGAAUCCUUUAAUUCAAGGCAUGAAUUAAUCCUGGCACCCUCUGCAAGCCCUUCCAAAAGCAGCUCAAUCCCUCAGGGGUGCUGCAGGUUCAGCAGCAUUGUGGGGUGUCCCCCAAGCACACCAGAAGCACCCCAGGAUCCAGCAGCAGGUUCAGCCCUCCUGCACGAUUCCCACUGUGGAUGGAAUACACCAGUGGGGACCAGGAAAGGUCCAGGAGGUGCAGAGGCAACCAAUAAACCCCAUUUUCAUUAGGAUAUCUGGGACAGCCAAGGCCUGACUGAGAGUGGCAGGUCCAAGCUGAGAUGCAGAGUGAGAUCAUCUCUGAAAAACUCUCCCACGCUCUGCCACUUAGCCAGGAAGGGUUUCUUUCAAAUUCCUUCCCCAGAUGAUGAGCUCUGGCAGAGCCUAUGCCAUGGUUCUUGUGCCCUGCUCUACCUGUUCUCUGGGCCUUAAGAGGAGAGGAGGAAGAAAGGAUGAAAAAUCACAUUUACCAAAAUAACCCCCAUCCCCAAAGCCCCCAGCCCACAGCUGAGGGUGCUGGCAAGGGACACCUGAAGCAAACCAUCCAUCCCAAAAUAGAUCCAUCUCAGAGGGCAAAAGGCAAAUUGAAUGAAAAAUAAGUUACUAUUUUUGAAGCCUGAAUCCAGUUGUUAUGGCAACCAAAGCCUGGAGCAUCGUGCUGGGGAAUGGCUCCAGCCCCAGCAAUGCCUCCAAACCUGGCAGACAGGGAAUCACAGGGGCUGCUCCAAGCUGGGGUGGGGAGAUGUCCAUGCUCACAGCACCUGUACCCCACUGGGAUGUGUCCCCUCCCUGCACAGCAGCUCUCCUCAACUCUGCCCACGAGCCCAGCU